rnacentral:rRNA from 1 species
GAUGAACGCUGGCGGCGUGCCUAAUACAUGCAAGUCGAGCGAACAGACGAGGAGCUUGCUCCUCUGAUGUUAGCGGCGGACGGGUGAGUAACACGUGGAUAACCUACCUAUAAGACUGGGAUAACUUCGGGAAACCGGAGCUAAUACCGGAUAACAUGUUGAACCGCAUGGUUCAACAGUGAAAGACGGUCUUGCUGUCACUUAUAGAUGGAUCCGCGCCGCAUUAGCUAGUUGGUAAGGUAACGGCUUACCAAGGGAACGAUGCGUAGCCGACCUGAGAGGGAGAUCGGCCACACUGAACGUGAGGCACGGUCCAGCCUCACACGGGAGGAAGCAGGCGGUAAUCUACAGCAAUGGGCGAAAGCAAGACGGAGCCACGCAGCGUGAGUGAAGAAGGACUUCGGAUCGUAAAGCUCUCUUAUUAGAGAAGAACAAAUGUGUAAGUAACUAUGCACGUCUUGACGGUACCUAAUCAGAAAGCCCCGGCUAAUUACGU